AAAUAAAAAUUUUAAAUUAUAGGAAAAAAAGGAUGUCUAGGUACUUUAAGACGAUGAAGGACGUAAAAAAUAUAUAUAUACGAAAAACUUAUUUAUAGCUUAUAUACUUUAAAUAAGAUCUCCGAAUAGGGAAACCUUUUAAUAUUUUUUAAAUUAAAAAUGAUUUACUUGAGGAACUGAAUCAUCUUAGUACUCAAAGGAAAAGAAAAUAACAAUUAUUCCCUUAGUAGUGGCGAACGAGUAGGGAUAAGAAACGUUAGACGUUUAGUUUAAAUAAAAAUAAAAUAAAGUAAAUAUAAACAACUGGUUUAUAUUGAAGAAACAAGAACUUCCUUGUAAAACUAAAUACUUUAAAGUAACCGAUAGUGUACUAGUACCGUGAGGGAAAGAUGAAAAGAACCCCGGGAGGGGAGUGAAAAGAGACUGAAAUUUUAAUCCUAACAACAAUAGAAGGGUAUAUGAACCUAACUAUUUGCCUGUUGAAGAAGGAACCGAUAAGUUUUGGUUUUUAAGCAAAAGGCUAAAAUUAAACUUGAAGCCAUAGUGAAAACGAGUUAUUACAAUUAGUAAUAGCGUUUGUAUAUAACCAAAAACCCGAAUCCAAUUGAUAUAACCUUGUUCAGAAUGAAAUAUAAAUAACUUUAUAUAGAAGUUCGAACUGAUUAAUGCUGCAAAAUUAUCAGAAGAAAUGAGGUUAGUUGUGAAAUGCUUGUCGAAUUUGGAGCUAGCUGGUUCUCCCCGAAAUGUAUUGAGGCGCAGCUAUUAUAAUAUAUAUAAAAAGGGUAAAGCACUGUUUUUAAAAUCACUAUAAACUAAUAAUAUUUUUAUAUUAACAUUAUAAUAAGUGAGACUUUUAGGGAUAAUCUUAUAAGUCAAAAGGGAAACAACCCAGACCAUAAACUAAGAUAAAAAUAUAACGAAAAUUUUAAAGGAUGUGGAGUUGUUACGUAUACAACCAGAAGGUUAGCUUAGAAGCAGUUUUCCUUUAAAAAGUGCGUAAAAGCUUACUGGUAAAGUAAUUCUGCACCUAAAAUGAACAAUAAAAUAUUUUUUUAUCGAAGUAAUGGGAUCUAUUAAUUAAAAAUAGAUCGGUAGGGGAGCGUUCUACAUUAAAAUAAAGCAAAGUUAUUAAAUUUUGUGAAUAAAGUAGAAGUGAGAAUGUCGGUUUAAGUAACUUAAAUAUUAAGAAGAAUCUAAUACCUCAAAAACUCAAAAGGUUCCUAUGAAAGGAUAAACCGCAUAGGGUUAGUCGGGGCCUAAGAUAAGAAAUUUAUUGUAAUUGAUGGGAAUCAAGUUAAUAUUCUUGAACCAUAUUUAUAUAGUAUACAAGUAGUGACCUAAAUAUAAAUUCUAAGUAAUAUAAUAAAUGAUUUUUACUUAGAAAUAAAAUUUUUGCUAGAAAAAUGAUAUUGUAUAAUUAUAGAUAUGCCCGUACUAAAACUGACACAAGUGAGUAGGUACUAUAACGUACUAAGAGGACGAAAUAAAUUUCUUUAAGGAACUCGGCAAAACAAUCCUGUAACUUCGGGAUAAAGGAUGCCUAUAAGGCUGCAAUUAAAAAGUUCAAGCGACUGUUUAUCAAAAACACAGGUAUCCGCAAAAUGUAAUUAUGAAG
rnacentral:rRNA from 1 species